CUGCUCGGGGAUGCGAUUACGGCCUAUCAGCUAGUUGGUGGGGUAAUGGCCCACCAAGGCUACGACGGGUAGCCGGCCUGAGAGGGUGGUCGGCCACACUGGGACUGAGACACUGCCCAG
rnacentral:rRNA from 1 species